AUUGAACGCUGGCGGCAGGCCUAACACAUGCAAGUCGAGCGGAGCGGCGGACGGGUGAGUAAUGCCUAGGAAUCUGCCUGGUAGUGGGGGAUAACGUCCGGAAACGGGCGCUAAUACCGCAUCCUAUCACAUGAGCCUCGGUCGGAUUAGCUAGUGGGUGGGGUAAAGGACUACCAAGGCGACGAUCGGUAGCUGGUCUGAGAGGAUGAGCAGUCACACGGGAGCUUGGACACGGUCCAGACUCCUACGGGAGGCAGCAGUGGGGAAUAUUGGACAAUGGGCGAAAGCCUGAUCCAGCCAUGCCGCGUGUGUGAAGAAGGUCUUCGGAUUGUAAAGCACUUUAAGUUGUGAGGCGUUACCAACAGAAUAAGCACCGGCUAACUUCGUGCCAGCAGCCGCGGUAAUUC
rnacentral:rRNA from 1 species